UCUGGUGACUAUAGCAAGGAGAUCACACCUGUUCCCAUGCCGAACACAGAAGUUAAGCUCCUUAGCGUCGAUGGU
rnacentral:rRNA from 1 species